rnacentral:rRNA from 1 species
CCUACGGGUGGCAGCAGUGGGGAAUAUUGGACAAUGGGCGAAAGCCUGAUCCAGCCAUGCCGCGUGUGUGAAGAAGGCCUUCGGGUUGUAAAGCACUUUCAGUGGGGAAGAAAGCCUUGGGGCUAAUACCCUCGAGGAAGGACAUCACCCACAGAAGAAGCACCGGCUAACUCCGUGCCAGCAGCCGCGGUAAUACGGAGGGUGCGAGCGUUGAAUCGGAAUUACUGGGCGUAAAGCGCGCGUAGGCGGUCUGAUAAGCCGGUUGUGAAAGCCCCGGGCUCAACCUGGGAACGGCAUCCGGAACUGUCAGGCUAGAGUGCAGGAGAGGAAGGUAGAAUUCCCGGUGUAGCGGUGAAAUGCGUAGAGAUCGGGAGGAAUACCAGUGGCGAAGGCGGCCUUCUGGACUGACACUGACGCUGAGGUGCGAAAGCGUGGGUAGCAAACAGGAUUAGAUACCCGAGUAGUC